rnacentral:rRNA from 2 species
AGUUUGAUCAUGGCUCAGAUUGAACGCUGGCGGCAGGCCUAACACAUGCAAGUCGAGCGGAAACGAGUUAUCUGAACCUUCGGGGAACGAUAACGGCGUCGAGCGGCGGACGGGUGAGUAAUGCCUGGGAAAUUGCCCUGAUGUGGGGGAUAACCCUUGGAAACGAUGGCUAAUACCGCAUAAUAGCUUCGGCUCAAAGAGGGGGACCUUCGGGCCUCUCGCGUCAGGAUAUGCCCAGGUGGGAUUAGCUAGUUGGUGAGGUAAUGGCUCACCAAGGGCGACGAUCCCUAGCUGGUCUGAGAGG